UACGAAGGGGGCUAGCGUUGCUCGGAAUCACUGGGCGUAAAGGGUGCGUAGGCGGGUCUUUAAGUCAGAGGUGAAAUCCUGGAGCUCAACUCCAGAACUGCCUUGAUACUGGCGAUCUCGAGUCCGGGAGAGGUGAGUGGAACUGCGAGUGUAGAGGUGAAAUUCGUAGAUAUUCGCAAGAACACCAGUGGCGAAGGCGGACUCACUGGCCCGGUAC
rnacentral:rRNA from 1 species